AACGCACCUUGCGCUCCUUGGUAUUCCGAGGAGCAUGCCUGUUUGAGUGUCAUUAAAUUCUCAACCUCACCAAUUUUGUCAUGAAGUUGUGUGUAGGCUUGGAGGUGGGGGGUUUUGCAGGUCCACAAUAUGGUGGUCUGCUCCUCUGAAAUGUAUUAGCGGGUUAGGCCCCUAAUCUAUUGGUGUGAUAACUAUCUACUCCGUGGAUUGGGUUUUGGCUUAUCCAUAGACCUGCUCCAAACCGUCCUUCCCUGGACAACUCCUGACAUUUUUGGCCUCAAAUCAGGUAAGACUACCCGCUGAACUUAA
rnacentral:misc_RNA from 1 species